AUUGAACGCUGGCGGCAGGCCUAACACAUGCAAGUCGAACGGUAACAGGAAGACUCUUGCUUCUUUGCUGACGAGUGGCGGACGGGUGAGUCAUGUCUGGGCAACUGCCUGCUGGAGGGGGAUAACUACUGGAAACGGUAGCUACUACCGCAUAACGUCGCAAGACCAAAGAGGGGGACCUUCGUGCCUCUUGCCGUCGGGUGUGCCGAGAUGGGAUUUGCUAGUAGGUGGGGUAACGGCCCACCUAGCCGACGAUCCCUAGCUGGCCUGAGAGGAUGACCAGCGACAGUGGAACUGAGUCACGGUCCAGACUCCUACGGGAGGACGCAGUGGGGAAUAUUGGACAAUGGGCGCAAGCAUGAUGGAACAAUGCGGCGUGUAUGAAGAAGGCCUCGGGGUUGGAAAGUACUCUCAGCGGGGAGGAAGGGCGUAAAGCUAAUACCACGGCUCAUUGACGUUACCCGCAGAAGAAGCACCGGCUAACUCCGUG
rnacentral:rRNA from 1 species